rnacentral:piRNA from 1 species
AGGUAAUGAAGUUAAAAUGGUGUAGUGCAC